rnacentral:rRNA from 1 species
CAGCCGCCGCGGUAAUACAGAGGAUGCAAGCGUUAUCCGGAAUGAUUGGGCGUAAAGUGUCUAUAGGUGGCUUUUCAAGUCCGCCGUCAAAUCCCAGGGCUCAACCGUGGACAGGCGGUGGAAACUACCAAGCUGGAGUACGGUAGGGGCAGAGGGAAUUUCCGAUGGAGCGGUGAAAUGCGUUGAGAUCGGAAAGAACACCAACGGAGAAAGCACUCUGCUGGGCCGACACUGACACUGAGAGACGAAAUCUAGGGGAGCAAAUGGGAUUAGAUACCCCCGUAGUCCCUGUCUCUUAUAC